AAUUUCUCAGUUUGGAGCUGCUAAAAUUCAUUUGAUUUUUUUAUCUGUACAACUCAUUUAAGAUGACGUGCUUUUGAUUCUGAUGCCUGGAAUUUACUAUUAUUAGUAUUGAUCAUUUAGUCUCAUUGCUACUUGGAUACUAGUGCAGUAGUUUUUGGCAUCCAGUAUGCUUGUUUGCUAUUUUUAUAUUCUGUUUCAUUGCACUUUCCCUCUUUUCACGAAUUUAAUUUCAAAUGGUUGUACCUGUACAUGCUAUAAUUCAUUUGAUUUUUUUAUCUGUACAACUCAUUUAAGAUGACGUGCUUUUGAUUCUGAUGCCUGGAAUUUACUAUUAUUAGUAUUGAUCAUUUAGUCUCAUUGCUACUUGGAUACUAGUGCAGUAGUUUUUGGCAUCCAGUAUGCUUGUUUGCUAUUUUUAUAUUCUGUUUCAUUGCACUUUCCCUCUUUUCACGAAUUUAAUUUCAAAUGGUUGUACCUGUACAUAGAAGAUUGUUCGCUAUUCACUUGCUCGCACUUGGAUAACCUGGCAUUGAGUUUUGGAGACUAGUAUAAUUCGAUAAUAUGACACAUUUGGAGAAAUAGUGGAAGGGGAAAAUACUAG
rnacentral:lncRNA from 1 species